UACGUAGGGGGGCAAGCGUUGUCCGGAAUCAUUGGGCGUAAAGAGCGUGUAGGCGGCCAGAAAAGUCCGCUGUGAAAACUCGAGGCUCAACCUCGAGACGUCGAUGGAAACCAUCUGGCUAGAGUCCGGAAGAGGAGAGUGGAAUUCCUGGUGUAGCGGUGAAAUGCGCAGAUAUCAGGAAGAACACCCGUGGCGAAGGCGGCUCUCUGGUACGUGACUGACGCUGAGGCGCGAAAAGCUAGGGGAGCGAACAGG
rnacentral:rRNA from 1 species